CUCUAAUACUAAGAAAAAAUGCUACUCAGGUUUGCAUUGGGUUCGUGGAGCUGUCAGAAUAAAAACAUUCACGAUUCUGUGGAAGCUGCAGCAGCACCAAAAGGUCAUGUCUCUUGCGGUUUGGCAGAGGGAAACCAGUGAGACUGCAACAGAGAUAAAUUUAGCCCUAAUUAAAAGGUGUUAAGGAAAACCACCUCAGCACCCAGGAAUGAGGCAUCCUUGUAUGCAGUCUAUCAGUGUUCAAGAUGUUGACUUUAUCUGUGGGAACACAUGAAGAUUAGCAAUGUUCUCCUUUGUGCUCCACCACUAGAAUUCCCUGAGUUUGUGAGUCACUGUCAGCUGCUUACUAAAUAUAACCCCUCAACACUGGUUGGACUUGUAGUCAUGAUGGCAGAAUUACUGGAGACAGCAUAAAAACUGCACAUUUAAAAUGUCCAAUAUAUAUACAUAUAACUUAUAGUCUGAGAAAAUAUCUUUCUGGUUUCCAUGUUGCCUCAAAUUUUCAUGUCAUGAAGCAUUUCAGCCCAGAUAGAACUGAAUCUGCAUCUUGUAUGCUAGUCUUAUUUGGGCAGGGAAAAAAAAAUCAUUAUUUUUUAAGGAAAAUUUUAAAAUGAAAAAUGUAAAAGAUUUGAAAGUCUGGAAGAAAAUUUGAUGGUAUUAGUAGAG
rnacentral:lncRNA from 1 species